UACGUAGGGUGCAAGCGUUGUCCGGAAUUAUUGGGCGUAAAGAGCUCGUAGGCGGUUUGUCGCGUCGGGAGUGAAAACCUUGGGCUUAACCCAGGGCUUGCUUUCGAUACGGGCAGACUAGAGGUAUGCAGGGGAGAACGGAAUUCCUGGUGUAGCGGUGAAAUGCGCAGAUAUCAGGAGGAACACCGGUGGCGAAGGCGGUUCUCUGGGCAUGAUCUGACGCUGAGGAGCGAAAGUGUGGGGAGCGAACAGG
rnacentral:rRNA from 1 species